AGCGGCGGACGGGUGAGAAACGCGUGGGAAUCUACCCUCCUGUGGGGGAUAACUUGGGGAAACCCAAGCUAAUACCGCAUAAGUCCUAAGGGAGAAAGCGGGGGAUCUUCGGACCUCGCGUAAGAGGAUGAGCCCGCGUCAGAUUAGCUAGUUGGUAGGGUAAAGGCCUACCAAGGCGACGAUCUGUAACUGGUCUGAGAGGAUGAUCAGUCACACCGGAACUGAGACACGGUCCGGACUCCUACGGGAGGCAGCAGUGGGGAAUCUUGGACAAUGGGGGAAACCCUGAUCCAGCCAUGCCGCGUGUGUGAAGAAGGCCUUAGGGUUGUAAAGCACUUUCAGCAGGGAGGAAGGCUUUAGCUUAAUACGCUGAAGUACUUGACGUUACCUGCAGAAGAAGCACCGGCUAAUUUCGUGCCAGCAGCCGCGGUAAUACGAAAGGUGCGAGCGUUAAUCGGAAUUACUGGGCGUAAAGCGCGCGUAGGCGGCUACUUAAGUCGGAUGUGAAAUCCCCGGGCUCAACCUGGGAACUGCAUCCGAUACUGGGUAGCUAGAGUGCAGUAGAGGGAGGUGGAAUUUCAGGUGUAGCGGUGAAAUGCGUANAGAUCUGAAGGAACACCAGUGGCGAAGGCGGCCUCCUGGACUGACACUGACGCUGAGGUGCGAAAGCGUGGGGAUCAAACAGGAUUAGAUACCCUGGUAGUCCACGCCGA
rnacentral:rRNA from 1 species